rnacentral:rRNA from 1 species
AGUGAACGCUGGCGGUAGGCCUAACACAUGCAAGUCGAACGGCAGCACAGUAAGAGCUUGCUCUUACGGGUGGCGAGUGGCGGACGGGUGAGGAAUACAUCGGAAUCUACUUUUUCGUGGGGGAUAACGUAGGGAGACUUACGCUAAUACCGCAUACGACCUACGGGUGAAAGCAGGGGAUCUUCGGACCUUGCGCGAUUGAAUGAGCCGAUGUCGGAUUAGCUAGUUGGCGGGGUAAAGGCCCACCAAGGCGACGAUCCGUAGCUGGUCUGAGAGGAUGAUCAGCCACACUGGAACUGAGACACGGUCCAGACUCCUACGGGAGGCAGCAGUGGGGAAUAUUGGACAACGGGCGCAAGCCUGAUCCAGCCAUACCGCGUGGGUGAAGAAGGCCUUCGGGUUGUAAAGCCCUUUUGUUGGGAAAGAAAAGCAGCAGGUUAAUACCCCGCUGUUCUGACGGUACCCAAAGAAUAAGCACCGGCUAACUUCGUG